AAAUUGAAGAGUUUGAUCAUGGCUCAGAUUGAACGCUGGCGGCAGGCCUAACACAUGCAAGUCGAACGGUAACAGGAAUCAGCUUGCUGAUUCGCUGACGAGUGGCGGACGGGUGAGUAAUGUCUGGGAAACUGCCUGAUGGAGGGGGAUAACUACUGGAAACGGUAGCUAAUACCGCAUAACGUCGCAAGACCAAAGAGGGGGACCUUCGGGCCUCUUGCCAUCGGAUGUGCCCAGAUGGGAUUAGCUAGUAGGUGGGGUAACGGCUCACCUAGGCGACGAUCCCUAGCUGGUCUGAGAGGAUGACCAGCCACACUGGAACUGAGACACGGUCCAGACUCCUACGGGAGGCAGCAGUGGGGAAUAUUGCACAAUGGGCGCAAGCCUGAUGCAGCCAUGCCGCGUGUAUGAAGAAGGCCUUCGGGUUGUAAAGUACUUUCAGCGGGGAGGAAGGGAGUAAAGUUAAUACCUUUGCUCAUUGACGUUACCCGCAGAAGAAGCACCGGCUAACUCCGUGCCAGCAGCCGCGGUAAUACGGAGGGUGCAAGCGUUAAUCGGAAUUACUGGGCGUAAAGCGCACGCAGGCGGUUUGUUAAGUCAGAUGUGAAAUCCCCGGGCUCAACCUGGGAACUGCAUCUGAUACUGGCAAGCUUGAGUCUCGUAGAGGGGGGUAGAAUUCCAGGUGUAGCGGUGAAAUGCGUAGAGAUCUGGAGGAAUACCGGUGGCGAAGGCGGCCCCCUGGACGAAGACUGACGCUCAGGUGCGAAAGCGUGGGGAGCAAACAGGAUUAGAUACCCUGGUAGUCCACGCCGUAAACGAUGUCGACUUGGAGGUUGUGCCCUUGAGGCGUGGCUUCCGGAGCUAACGCGUUAAGUCGACCGCCUGGGGAGUACGGCCGCAAGGUUAAAACUCAAAUGAAUUGACGGGGGCCCGCACAAGCGGUGGAGCAUGUGGUUUAAUUCGAUGCAACGCGAAGAACCUUACCUGGUCUUGACAUCCACGGAAGUUUUCAGAGAUGAGAAUGUGCCUUCGGGAACUGUGAGACAGGUGCUGCAUGGCUGUCGUCAGCUCGUGUUGUGAAAUGUUGGGUUAAGUCCCGCAACGAGCGCAACCCUUAUCCUUUGUUGCCAGCGGUCCGGCCGGGAACUCAAAGGAGACUGCCAGUGAUAAACUGGAGGAAGGUGGGGAUGACGUCAAGUCAUCAUGGCCCUUACGACCAGGGCUACACACGUGCUACAAUGGCGCAUACAAAGAGAAGCGACCUCGCGAGAGCAAGCGGACCUCAUAAAGUGCGUCGUAGUCCGGAUUGGAGUCUGCAACUCGACUCCAUGAAGUCGGAAUCGCUAGUAAUCGUGGAUCAGAAUGCCACGGUGAAUACGUUCCCGGGCCUUGUACACACCGCCCGUCACACCAUGGGAGUGGGUUGCAAAAGAAGUAGGUAGCUUAACCUUCGGGAGGGCGCUUACCACUUUGUGAUUCAUGACUGGGGUGAAGUCGUAACAAGGUAACCGUAGGGGAACCUGCGGUUGGAUCACCUCCUUACCUUAAAGAAGC
rnacentral:rRNA from 1 species